AGACGUCUACAUUAGAUACCCGGGUAGUCCCAGCCGUAAACUAUGCGCGUUAGGUGUAUCGGUGACCACGAGUUACCGAGGUGCCGAAGGGAAACCGUGAAACGUGCCGCCUGGGAAGUACGGUCGCAAGGCUGAAACUUAAAGGAAUUGGCGGGGGAGCACCACAACAGGUGGAGCCUGCGGUUUAAUUGGACUCAACGCCGGGAAGCUCACCGGAUAGGACAGCAGAAUGAUUGCCGGGCUGAAGACCCUGCAUGACUAGCUG
rnacentral:rRNA from 1 species